rnacentral:rRNA from 1 species
UACGUAGGGUGCGAGCGUUAAUCGGAAUUACUGGGCGUAAAGCGUGCACAGGCGGCGCGUUAAGACAGGUGUGAAAGCCCCGAGCUUAACUUGGGAAUUGCGCUUGUGACUGGCGUGCUGGAGUGUGGCAGAGGGGGGUGGAAUUCCACGUGUAGCAGUGAAAUGCGUAGAGAUGUGGAGGAACACCGAUGGCGAAGGCAGCCUCCUGGGCCAGCACUGACGCUCAUGCACGAAAGCGUGGGGAGCAAACAGG